AUUGAACGCUGGCGGCAGGCUUAACACAUGCAAGUCGAGCGGGGUGAUGGUGCUUGCACUAUCACUUAGCGGCGGACGGGUGAGUAAUGCUUAGGAAUCUGCCUAUUAGUGGGGGACAACAUCUCGAAAGGGAUGCUAAUACCGCAUACGUCCUACGGGAGAAAGCAGGGGAUCACUUGUGACCUUGCGCUAAUAGAUGAGCCUAAGUCGGAUUAGCUAGUUGGUGGGGUAAAGGCCUACCAAGGCGACGAUCUGUAGCGGGUCUGAGAGGAUGAGACGCCACACUGGGACUGAGACACGGCCCAGAGUCCUACGGGAGGCAGCAGGGGGGAAUAUUGGACAAUGGGGGGAACCCUGAUCUAGCCAUGCCGCGUGUGUGAAGAAGGCCUUAUGGUUGUAAAGCACUUUAAGCGAGGAGGAGGCUCUUUUGGUUAAUACCCAAGAUGAGUGGACGUUACUCGCAGAAUAAGCACCGGCUAACUCUGUGCCAGCCGCCGCAGUAA
rnacentral:rRNA from 1 species